rnacentral:rRNA from 1 species
GAUGAACGCUAGCGAUAGGCCUAACACAUGCAAGUCGAGGGGCAGCACGGGAGUAGCAAUACAACUGGUGGCGACCGGCGCACGGGUGAGUAACGCGUAUGUAAUCUACCUACAACAGGGGGAUAACCCGGAGAAAUCCGGACUAAUACCGCAUAAAACAGGGGUCCCGCCUGGGACUAUUUGUUAAAGAUUUAUCGGUUGUAGAUGAGCAUGCGUUCCAUUAGAUAGUUGGUAAGGUAACGGCUUACCAAGUCAGCGAUGGAUAGGGGAACUGAGAGGUUUGUCCCCCACACUGGAACUGAGACACGGGCCAGACUCCUACGGGAGGCAGCAGUGAGGAAUAUUGGUCAAUGGGCGAGAGCCUGAACCAGCCAAAUCGCGUGAAGGAAGACUGCCUUAUGGGUUGUAAACUUCUUUUACAGGGGAAUAAAAAGACAUACGAGUAUGUCAUUGCAUGUACCCUGUGAAUAAGCAUCGGCUAACUCCGUGCCAGCAGCCGCGGUAAUACGGAGGAUGCGAGCGUUAUCCGGAUUUAUUGGGUUUAAAGGGUGCGCAGGCGGGAUUUUAAGUCAGCGGUGAAAUACCAACGCUCAACGUUGGAACUGCCGUUGAAACUGGGAUUCUUGAGUAUAGAUCAAGUAGGCGGAAUUCGUUGUGUAGCGGUGACAUGCAUAGAUAUAACGACCACCCCCGAUUGCGUAGGCAGCCUACUAAACUAUAACUGACGCUCAAGCACGAAAGCGUGGCGA